CUCCCUUCAACCAUACCAGAAAUGAAUUAUCUAUGCCAAUCAGCCAUUUCAAACAUAUGUAUUAGCUGCGUGUUGGACACCAAACACUAGUCUGGGCACUGGGAAUACACUGGAUAACCAAACAAGGUAUCUGACAAAUUGAAAUUGUGAUAAAAUCCCAAGUCUUUAUUCCUGCCUUCUCACCAGGUGUUAGGAUCCACAUACAAACACACCGUGCCAUGCACCUGCUGUAAUGCCUCAGCUAAGGAAGCUGCUCCCAGAUGUUCAAACAAUGGAAAUAAGAAAGAGAUAAAUCUCAAGCAGUCAUACAUAAAAUACUGAACAGGUAGAGAUGAGUACAAAAUUGUGGGCAUCAAACAGUGAAAAGCUUUGCAAGUAUUAACAUGAAAAUGAAUGAUGGUGCAAGAAGUUGAAUUUAAAAUCAAUUAGGAGAAGUCUCGACUAAAUGUAUGGCAUGAAAGGGAGAAGGGAAUCGAAGCUAAGAGAAAGUGUCCAUUCCCAUUGAUUGGGAGAACAAUGAGAGUCUGACACAGGAAGAGAAGGGAAGCAGAGGAGAAAAAUCCAUGGAAAUGACUGAAAAGUCACCCUAUCUUCAGUCUGAGCUUAAAUCAGAUUGUCCUGUCAGUUUUGCAUAGUCCCUGAAAUAAUCUUUUAUUCUAGCAUCCAGUUGACCUGAAGCACAAGAGAACAAAUGUUAUGAAAGUAAAAUGAAAGACUCACUUUUUGGAAAUCAUAUAUGUAUCUCAUUUAAACUCAUUUGACGACUGGUGAAUUCAUUAGGCAAAGA
rnacentral:lncRNA from 12 species